GGGCAGGUAAAAAUUCUGCAGAAGAAUCUAAAAAGUGUUUCACUGCUUUACAUCCAUAUUCAUGCGGGAUACUGCUAUAUAAAGCUGUGAGAUCACACGUAACCAAAGUAUAUUCAUUUUCCCAUUUGAAAUCUUCUAAAAGCUUUAAAAUGGAAAUAGUAUCUUUAAUGUGGGAAUGAGUUUUUUGUACUAGAGGCUGUAACAGAACAUCGAUAUAUUGUGAUAAUUUACUAGAAAUUGCAUCUACUCCUGCAAUGAUCGGUCUACCAGGGGGAUGAGUUACAUUCUUGUGAACCUUA